rfam:Macaca mulatta chromosome 6, whole genome shotgun sequence.
CAGCCUGUGGUCCUCACCUGGAAACCUCACAGGAAGCCUCACCCAGCCUGGACACGGGCAGGCCUGACAGAUUGACAGCUCUUUCUUGAUUCUAUGGGUGGUGGUGCAUGGCCAUUCUUAGUUGGUGGAGCGAUUUGUCUGGUAAAUUCUGAUAAGGAAUGAGACCCUGGCAUGCUGACUAGUUCCAUGAUCCCUGAGCAGUCGGCCUCCCCCAACUUCUUAGAGGGACAAGUGGUGCUCAGCAACCCGAGAUUGAACAAUAACAGAUCUGUGAUGCUCAUAGUGCCCUACACCAACUGGCUCAGUGUAUGCCUACCCUACGCUGGCAGGCGCUGGCAAACUGUUGAACCCCAUUCGUGAUGGGGAUUGGGGAUUACAAUUAUUCCCCAUGACCGAGGAAUUCCUAGUAAGUGUGCGUCAUAAGCUUGCACUGAUUAAGUCCCUG